AAAUGAGCAUCCCGUUAAGCUCUUGGGAGCCUUGUGUUAGCGCCGUGCCUCUUGACAGGCACGGGUGACUUCAUUACUUCCUGGGUAUAAAAUUCCCGUCAUUGAAAAUCUAGGUGCUACGUUAGACCAGUUUGAUGCUAUUGAUUUUUCUGACAAUGAGAUCAGGAAACUGGAUGGUUUUCCUUUGUUGAGAAGACUGAAAACAUUGUUAGUGAACAACAACAGAAUAUGCCGUAUAGGUGAGGGACUUGAUCAGGCUCUGCCCUGUCUGACAGAACUCAUUCUCACCAAUAAUAGUCUCGUGGAACUGGGUGAUCUGGACCCUCUGGCAUCUCUUAAAUCGCUGACUUACCUAAGUAUCCUAAGAAAUCCGGUAACCAAUAAGAAGCAUUACAGAUUGUAUGUGAUUUAUAAAGUUCCGCAAGUCAGAGUACUGGAUUUCCAGAAAGUGAAACUAAAAGUAAGUAGUAAUCUGUUGCUUGUGAGUCAUUAUAGAGUUGUGUGUUUUUCUUUAUAUUUUUAUUACUGAUUAUUAAAAUUGUCUAAAUGAGUAAAUUUUACCAUUAGUUUGUAAUAAAAGUGGGAGGGAAAAUGUUACAUCACAUUUUUUUCUAAUAGCAGAGUUUACGAUAGAACUUUUAAGUUGGAGCUCUUUUAUGUAAUGCUGGCUAUUCCGAA
rnacentral:sRNA from 1 species